CAGGGGGUGCAAACGUUGCUCGGAAUUAUUGGGCGUAAAGCGCGCGUAGGCGGCUACUUAAGUCGGAUGUGAAAGCCCCUGGCUCAACUGGGGAAGUGUACCCGAAACUGAGUGGCUUGAGUGCGAAAGAGGGUCGCGGAAUUCCCGGUGUAGAGGUGAAAUUCGUAGAUAUCGGGAGGAACACCGGUGGCGAAGGCGGCGACCUGGGUCGACACUGACGCUGAGGCGCGAAAGCGUGGGGAGCAAACAGGAUUAGAUACCCUGGUAGUCCACGCCGUAAACGAUGGGUGCUAGAUGUUUCUGGUAUUGACCCCGGAGGCGUCGUAGCUAACGCGUUAAGCACCCCGCCUGGGAAGUACGGCCGCAAGGCUA
rnacentral:rRNA from 1 species